AUUGAACGCUGGCGGUAGGCUUAACACAUGCAAGUCGAGCGAGCGGCGGACGGGUGAGUAAUGUCUGGGAAACUGCCUGAUGGAGGGGGAUAACUACUGGAAACGGUAGCUAAUACCGCAUACAAUCAGAUGUGCCCAGAUGGGAGUGGCUAGUAGGUGGGGUAAUGGCUCACCUAGGCGACGAUCCCUAGCUGGUGUGAGAGGAUGACCAGCCACUCUGGAACGGAGACACGGUCCAGACUCCUACGGGAGUCAGCAGUGGGGAAUAUUGCACAAUGGGCGCAAGCCUGAUGCAGCCAUGCCGCGUGUGUGGAGAUGGCCUUCGGGUUGUAGAGCACUUUCGGCGAGGAGGCGUUGCUCGCAGAAGAAGCACCGGCUAACUCCGUGCCAGCAGCCGCGGUAAUAC
rnacentral:rRNA from 1 species